GUUCACUGCGUCAUUUUAAACACGCGAAGGCUAAAAUGCCCCUCAGUGUGGUGGCACAAUGGCAGAGCCACAGUGCACCGCGUGGGGAAGACGAAGUUGGUCUUCAUGUCUGCAUGUGCCCUGGUGGCCACCACGUAUUGUUACCAAAUGAACUUGCUGGUACUGCGGACAGAGUGCAGGAGUACAGUCUCUACCUCCUCAGGAAAGAACCAGGCGACAAAGCCAGUCUGUUCCGUGCUCUGUGAAGAAAACCAUAUUGGUUUCAGACAUCAGCUUCAGGUGAUUAUUAGGAGAGAAAACUGACAUCUCUCUCUGACAAGGUGUCCAGUGUGAUGAUGAUUUGAUAUUCAAAUACACGAUGAAAUGUUUACCACAAUCAAGCUAAUUAACACAUCCGUCACCUUGCAGUGUUACCUAGACCAUGG